CUACGGNAGGNAGGNNGGGGGAAUCUUCCGCANUGGACGAAAGUCUGACGGANCANCNCCNCGCGAGUGAAGAANGNNUUCGGAUCGNAAAACUNUGUUUCAGGGACGAAUGUGCGCNGNGUAAAUAAUGCUGUGUAAUGACGGUACCUGAGUAGAAAGCCACGGCUAACUACGUGCCAGCAGCCGNNGUAAUACNUAGGUGGCAAGCGUUGUCCGGAAUUAUUGGGCGUAAAGGGCGCGUAGGCGGCCUUUUAAGUCAGAUGUGAAAACCCCGGGCUUAACUUGGGGACUGCAUCUGAUACUGGGAGGCUAGAGUGCAGGAGAGGUAAGUGGAAUUCCUAGUGUAGCGGUGAAAUGCGUAGAUAUUAGGAGGAACACCAGUGGCGAAGGGACUUUCUGGACUGUGUUUGACACUGAGGCGCGAAAGCCAGGGUAGUGAACGGGAUUAGAUACCCCGGUAAUCCUGGCCGUAAACGAUGGGUACUAGGUGUUGGGGGUAUCGACCCCUCCAGUGCCGGAGUUGACGCAAUAAGUACCCCGCCUGGGGAGUACGGNCGNNNGGUUGAAACUCAAAGGAAUUGACGG
rnacentral:rRNA from 1 species